GAUGAAGAACGCAGCGAAACGCGAUAAGUAAUGUGAAUCGCAGAAUCCAGUGAAUCAUCGAAUCUUUGAACGCACAUUGCGCCCGCCAGCAUUCUGGCGGGCAUGCCUGUUCGAGCGUCAUUUCAACCCUCGACCUCCCCUUGGGGAGGUCGGCGUUGGGGACCGGCAGCACACCGCCGGCCCUGAAAUGGAGUGGCGGCCCGUCCGCGGCGACCUCUGCGCAGUAAUACAGCUCGCACCGGGACCCCGACGCGGCCACGCCGUAAAACACCCAACUUCUGAACGUUGACCUCGAAUCAGGUAGGACUACCCGCUGAACUUAAGCAUAUCAAUAAGCGGAGGA
rnacentral:misc_RNA from 1 species